UAGAUAGCUCAGUUGGUUAGAGCAUGGUGUUCAAACCAGAAAGUUUACAGGUUCAAUCCCCGUAAGGAAAA